UCCGUAGGGGGCGAACGUUGUCAGGAUUUAUUGGGCGUAAAGAGCUCGUAGGCGGCUCAGCAAGUCGGCCGUGAAAACCCGGGGCUCAACCCCGGGACGCCGGUCGAAACUGCUGUGGCUAGGGUCCGGUAGAGGAGAGUGGAAGUCCCGGUGUAGCGGUGAAAUGCGCAGAUAUCGGGAGGAACACCAGUAGCGAAGGCGGCUCUCUGGGCCGGUACCGACGCUGAGGAGCGAAAGCUAGGGGAGCAAACAGG
rnacentral:rRNA from 1 species